rnacentral:lncRNA from 1 species
AUGAAGAAGACAGAUAAUAACUUGGCUUAAAUUCUAGCAUAUGCUUUGAUUUUAUCUUGCUUUAUUUUGGGCAAGAAUACUGAAUAACUGGGAGAAUAAAUUUAGCUCCAAAUCAGCACAAUUGGCACGUGGCACUUGGGAAGGCAGCCUGUUUGAAUAAUGCACUUUCAUUGUUUCCCUUUGGAAAGGACAAGAGGGAUUCUGGAGAAAUUAAGUUCUUCUUUAUGCAACAGAUUGCCUUCCAUAUUACUAUAACCAUAGGCCAAGAUGCUGCAUUUCCUGUGGGAGGAGCCAAGUUUUGGACAGACACGAGGC